rnacentral:rRNA from 1 species
UACGGAGGGGGCUAGCGUUGUUCGGAAUUACUGGGCGUAAAGCGUGCGCAGGCGGUUGUGCAAGACCGAUGUGAAAUCCCCGGGCUUAACCUGGGAAUGGCAUUGGUGACUGCACGGCUAGAGUGUGUCAGAGGGGGGUAGAAUUCCACGUGUAGCAGUGAAAUGCGUAGAGAUGUGGAGGAAUACCGAUGGCGAAGGCAGCCCCCUGGGAUAACACUGACGCUCAUG